GGGAAACUUGCCUCGAGAUGAGUCUUCCCUGGGUACUUGAUACCCCUGAAGGGCCGUUGAAGACGACGACGUAGAUAGGCUGGGUGUGUAAGCGUAGCGAUACGUUGAGCUAACCAGUACUAAUGACCCGAGAGGCUUAACCUUACAACACCGAAGGUGUUU
rnacentral:rRNA from 1 species